GUGUCAGCAGCCGCGGUAAUACGGAGGGUGCAAGCGUUGUCCGGAUUCAUUGGGUUUAAAGGGUGCGCAGGCGGGACAUUAAGUCAGGGGUGAAAGACGGUUGCUCAACAAUCGCAGUGCCUUUGAUACUGGUGUUCUUGGGUGACCUUGAGGUAGGCGGAAUGGGUGGUGUAGCGGUGAAAUGCAUAGAUACCACCCAGAACUCCGAUUGCGAAGGCAGCCUACUGGAGGUUAACCGACGCUCAGGCACGAAAGCGUGGGGAUCAAACAGGAUUAGAUACCCUGGUAGUCCACGCCGUAAACGAUGAUCACUCGCUGUGGGGAGGCUACUUUCCGCGGCUUAGCGAAAGCGUUAAGUGAUCCACCUGGGGAGUACGCUCGCAAGGGUGAA
rnacentral:rRNA from 1 species